rnacentral:lncRNA from 1 species
CUUCUCCCAGGGUCCCAGGCAUGCUGCUAAACAUGUGGCUCAGAAAGGAGCCCACGCUGGUGUCUGGGAGGCAGUAGGACCGCAAAGAAAUUCAUACACAACACACUUGACCUGUAAAAUUGCCAUUUCCAUUUAAAGUGAGCUCUACACCCAGCUAGAUGAGCAGCUGGUCUAAGUUGUCACCAUUUUUUAACUCUUGUGCCCACUUGCCACCAAUCUGUCAUUCCUGUUUGACGACACCAGUCAUCUGCAUGGCAGCUGGCAGAUGCUAAAGACUAGCAGGAAGACCUCAGGACUGUGGGCCACCUGUCAGGGGAGUGAGGGGGCUGUCAGCUGACACUUCUCCCCCUUAUCUAACAGUGCUGGGGCCAAGGACUGGAAUGCAGGUUUGAC